CACGUAGGGUCCAAGCGUUGUCCGGAUUUAUUGGGCGUAAAGCGCUCGUAGGCGGCUCGGCAAGUCAGGUGUGAAACCUCCAGGCUCAACCUGGAGACGCCACCUGAUACUGCUGUGGCUAGAGUCCGGUAGGGGAGCGUGGAAUUCCUGGUGUAGCGGUGAAAUGCGCAGAUAUCAGGAGGAACACCAGCGGCGAAGGCGGCGCUCUGGGCCGGAACUGACGCUGAGGAGCGAAAGCGUGGGUAGCAAACAGG
rnacentral:rRNA from 1 species